rnacentral:rRNA from 1 species
GUGAGACAGUUCGGUCCCUAU